AGUGAACGCUGGCGGUAGGCCUAACACAUGCAAGUCGAACGGCAGCACAGUAAGAGCUUGCUCUUACGGGUGGCGAGUGGCGGACGGGUGAGGAAUACAUCGGAAUCUACUUUUUCGUGGGGGAUAACGUAGGGAAACUUACGCUAAUACCGCAUACGACCUACAGGUGAAAGCAGGGGAUCUUCGGACCUUGCGCGAUUGAAUGAGCCGAUGUCGGAUUAGCUAGUUGGCGGGGUAAAGGCCCACCAAGGCGACGAUCCGUAGCUGGUCUGAGAGGAUGAUCAGCCACACUGGAACUGAGACACGGUCCAGACUCCUACGGGGGGCAGCAGUGGGGAAUAUUGGACAAUGGGCGCAAGCCUGAUCCAGCCAUACCGCGUGGGUGAAGAAGGCCUUCGGGUUGUAAAGCCCUUUUGUUGGGAAAGAAAAGCAGCAGGUUAAUACCCCGCUGUUCUGACGGUACCCAAAGAAUAAGCACCGGCUAACUUCGUG
rnacentral:rRNA from 1 species